rnacentral:rRNA from 1 species
GGGUUGUGAGGUUAAGCGACUAAGCGUACACGGUGGAUGCCCUGGCAGUCAGAGGCGAUGAAGGGCGUGCUAAUCUGCGAUAAGCGCCGGUAAGGUGAUAUGAACCGUUAUAACCGGCGAUACCCGAAUGGGGAAACCCAGUGUGAUUCGUCACACUAUCAUUAACUGAAUCCAUAGGUUAAUGAGGCGAACCGGGGGAACUGAAACAUCUAAGUACCCCGAGGAAAAGAAAUCAACCGAGAUUCCCCCAGUAGCGGCGAGCGAACGGGGAGGAGCCCAGAGCCUGAAUCAGCAUGUGUGUUAGUGGAAGCGUCUGGAAAGGCGCGCGAUACAGGGUGACAGCCCCGUACACAAAAGCGCAUGUGCUGUGAGCUCGAUGAGUAGGGCGGGACACGUGGUAUCCUGUCUGAAUAUGGGGGGACCAUCCUCCAAGGCUAAAUACUCCUGACUGACCGAUAGUGAACCAGUACCGUGAGGGAAAGGCGAAAAGAACCCCGGCGAGGGGAGUGAAAAAGAACCUGAAACCGUGUACGUACAAGCAGUGGGAGCNNNNNNNNNNNNNNNNNNNNGGGCGUUAAGUUGCAGGGUAUAGACCCGAAACCCGGUGAUCUAGCCAUGGGCAGGUUGAAGGUUGGGUAACACUAACUGGAGGACCGAACCGACUAAUGUUGAAAAAUUAGCGGAUGACCUGUGGCUGGGGGUGAAAGGCCAAUCAAACCGGGAGAUAGCUGGUUCUCCCCGAAAGCUAUUUAGGUAGCGCCUCGUGAAUUCAUCUCCGGGGGUAGAGCACUGUUUCGGCUAGGGGGCCAUCCCGGCUUACCAACCCGAUGCAAACUGCGAAUACCGGAGAAUGUUAUCACGGGAGACACACGGCGGGUGCUAACGUCCGUCGUGAAGAGGGAAACAACCCAGACCGCCAGCUAAGGUCCCAAAGUCAUGGUUAAGUGGGAAACGAUGUGGGAAGGCCCAGACAGCCAGGAUGUUGGCUUAGAAGCAGCCAUCAUUUAAAGAAAGCGUAAUAGCUCACUGGUCGAGUCGGCCUGCGCGGAAGAUGUAACGGGGCUAAACCAUGCACCGAAGCUGCGGCAGCGACACUGUGUGUUGUUGGGUAGGGGAGCGUUCUGUAAGCCUGCGAAGGUGGCCUGUGAGGGUUGCUGGAGGUAUCAGAAGUGCGAAUGCUGACAUAAGUAACGAUAAAGCGGGUGAAAAGCCCGCUCGCCGGAAGACCAAGGGUUCCUGUCCAACGUUAAUCGGGGCAGGGUGAGUCGACCCCUAAGGCGAGGCCGAAAGGCGUAGUCGAUGGGAAACGGGUUAAUAUUCCCGUACUUGGUGUUACUGCGAAGGGGGGACGGAGAAGGCUAUGUUGGCCGGGCGACGGUUGUCCCGGUUUAAGCGUGUAGGUGUGUGUUCCAGGUAAAUCCGGUUCACUUUAACACUGAGGCGUGACGACGAGGCACUACGGUGCUGAAGCAACAAAUGCCCUGCUUCCAGGAAAAGCCUCUAAGCAUCAGGUAACAUCAAAUCGUACCCCAAACCGACACAGGUGGUCAGGUAGAGAAUACCAAGGCGCUUGAGAGAACUCGGGUGAAGGAACUAGGCAAAAUGGUGCCGUAACUUCGGGAGAAGGCACGCUGACACGUAGGUGAAGUGAUUUACUCAUGGAGCUGAAGUCAGUCGAAGAUACCAGCUGGCUGCAACUGUUUAUUAAAAACACAGCACUGUGCAAACACGAAAGUGGACGUAUACGGUGUGACGCCUGCCCGGUGCCGGAAGGUUAAUUGAUGGGGUCAGCGCAAGCGAAGCUCCUGAUCGAAGCCCCGGUAAACGGCGGCCGUAACUAUAACGGUCCUAAGGUAGCGAAAUUCCUUGUCGGGUAAGUUCCGACCUGCACGAAUGGCGUAAUGAUGGCCAGGCUGUCUCCACCCGAGACUCAGUGAAAUUGAACUCGCUGUGAAGAUGCAGUGUACCCGCGGCAAGACGGAAAGACCCCGUGAACCUUUACUAUAGCUUGACACUGAACAUUGAGCCUUGAUGUGUAGGAUAGGUGGGAGGCUUUGAAGUGUGGACGCCAGUCUGCAUGGAGCCGACCUUGAAAUACCACCCUUUAAUGUUUGAUGUUCUAACGUGGACCCGUUACCCGGGUUGCGGACAGUGUCUGGUGGGUAGUUUGACUGGGGCGGUCUCCUCCUAAAGAGUAACGGAGGAGCACGAAGGUUGGCUAAUCCUGGUCGGACAUCAGGAGGUUAGUGCAAUGGCAUAAGCCAGCUUGACUGCGAGCGUGACGGCGCGAGCAGGUGCGAAAGCAGGUCAUAGUGAUCCGGUGGUUCUGAAUGGAAGGGCCAUCGCUCAACGGAUAAAAGGUACUCCGGGGAUAACAGGCUGAUACCGCCCAAGAGUUCAUAUCGACGGCGGUGUUUGGCACCUCGAUGUCGGCUCAUCACAUCCUGGGGCUGAAGUAGGUCCCAAGGGUAUGGCUGUUCGCCAUUUAAAGUGGUACGCGAGCUGGGUUUAGAACGUCGUGAGACAGUUCGGUCCCUAUCUGCCGUGGGCGCUGGAGAACUGAGGGGGGCUGCUCCUAGUACGAGAGGACCGGAGUGGACGCAUCACUGGUGUUCGGGUUGUCAUGCCAAUGGCACUGCCCGGUAGCUAAAUGCGGAAGAGAUAAGUGCUGAAAGCAUCUAAGCACGAAACUUGCCCCGAGAUGAGUUCUCCCUGAGACUUAAAGUCUCCUGAAGGAACGUUGAAGACGACGACGUUGAUAGGCCGGGUGUGUAAGCGCAGCGAUGCGUUGAGCUAACCGGUACUAAUGAACCGUGAGGCUUAACCUUACAACGCCGAAG